UACGUAGGGGGCAAGCGUUGUCCGGAUUUAUUGGGCGUAAAGAGCUCGUAGGCGGUUUGGUAAGUCGGAUGCGAAAUCUCCAGGCUCAACCUGGAGGGGUCAUUCGAUACUGCCAUGACUAGAGUUCGGUAGGGGAGUGUGGAAUUCCUGGUGGAGCGGUGAAAUGCGCAGAGAUCAGGAGGAACACCCGUAGCGAAGGCGGCACUCUGGGCCGAUACUGACGCUGAGGAGCGAAAGCGUGGGGAGCGAACAGG
rnacentral:rRNA from 1 species